rnacentral:rRNA from 1 species
UACAGGAAGGGGCUAGCGUUGCUCGGAAUCACUGGGCGUAAAGCGCACGUAGGCGGAUUGUUAAGUCAGGGGUGAAAUCCUGGAGCUCAACUCCAGAACUGCCUUUGAUACUGGCGAUCUCGAGUCCGGGAGAGGUGAGUGGAACUGCGAGUGUAGAGGUGAAAUUCGUAGAUAUUCGCAAGAACACCAGUGGCGAAGGCGGCUCACUGGCCCGGUACUGACGCUGAGGUGCGAAAGCGUGGGGAGCAAACAGG